rnacentral:lncRNA from 13 species
GAGACACCAUGGGAGGCAAGCUGAGCAAGAAAAAGAAGGGGUACGAUGUCAGCGACCCAAAAGACAAGAAAGAGGAGAUUACUGUGGCUGCUGUGAGUGCCGUUGAGGCCAUGGCCCAUGCCGUGGAGAGCAAAGCACCAGCUCCUGUCGCUGAGUUGGUAGCGAAGGAUGCUCCUAAGGUGUCUGCUGUGGUAGAGGGAGCAGUGGAGUUGGCAGCGGUAACCAUCACAGAAGCGACAGAAGAGGCCCUGUCAGCUAUUGAGGCUGUGGCCAAGGGGGCCACCGCAGAGCCAGUGGCUGUACUAGAUGAACCUGUGGCAGCACCGGCAGAACCAGCGCCAACAGCAGAAGAGCCCGUGGCUUCAGAAGAACCAGCUGCAGCACCAGAGGAGCCAGCACCAGCUGCAGCACCAGAAGAACCUGCACCAGAAGAACCAGCGGCACUAGACGAAACAGCAGCUGCACCAAAAGAGCCUACAGUGGAAGAGCCUGUGCGAGAAGAGCCUGCGGCAGCACCAAAAGAACCUGCACCAGAAGAGCCUGCGGCAGCACCAAAAGAGCCUGCAGUGGAAGAGCCUGCGGCAGCACCAAAAGAGCAUGCACCAGGAGAGCCUGCGGCAGCACCAAAAGAGCCAGCACCAGAAAAGCCCGAGGCAGCACCAAAAGAGCCUGCACCAGAACCAGAAACCGUCCCAGAACCAGCCGCUAAAGAGCUCCCCCUACCUGUAGAAGAAUCCGUAGCAGAGCUUGAACCUGAAGCUGCUGAUGCAGUAACAGAGGCAGCAGAGCCAGAGGCUGCCGACAUUGCAGAAUUCAUCCCGGAGAUCAUCAUUUCAGAAUCUGCUGCACCUGCUGCUGCAGAGGAGACCAGCGCUGGGCCACAGGAGGCUGUGCUGGACAACAGGGAAGUUGUUUCCGCAGAGGAGGCUACUGCUGAGCCUUCUGCCCCUGAGGUCAAUGGGGAGUGUCAGGAGCAGGCAGCCGAGCCGGCUGCCGUGUCUGCCCCGGAGCCACAACAAAAGGAAUGUGUCAAUGGCAUUGACAAGCCAGAGGAUGCCGUUGAGGUGCAAAUUGACUGUGAAUUAAAAAAGGACUUGAACCUGACUGGCGACAUCCAGAUUCCUGAGGCAAUCGGUGAGGCAAUAAGUCAGGCUGUUGACUUGGUCUGA